rnacentral:ncRNA from 2 species
GAGUGGGGUAGAGGCGCGGUAACGCAUGAGUAAUCCCGGUGAGGAAGGUACCGAUGAUCCGGGGCCAAGGGGCUUACCGCCGAAGUUGCGGCUGACCAUACAGCCGCUGCUGGGCCGUCGCCGAACAGGUGCCGGACUGUCAUCCGAAAACAUUCCCAGCUUUCGGAUGAAGCGCUAUCUCAUCU